AGCGAACGCUGGCGGCAGGCUUAACACAUGCAAGUCGAGCGGGCAUCCUUGUGGUGUCAGCGGCAGACGGGUGAGUAACGCGUGGGAACGUGCCCUUCGGUUCGGAAUAACUCAGGGAAACUUGAGCUAAUACCGGAUACGUGCGAGAGCAGAAAGGUUUAUCUGCCGAAGGAUCGGCCCGCGUCUGAUUAGCUAGUUGGUGAGGUUAUGGCUCUCCAAGGCGACGAUCAGUAGCUGGUCUGAGAGGAUGAUCAGCCACACUGGGACUGAGACACGGCCCAGACUCCUACGGGAGGCAGCAGUGGGGAAUAUUGGUCAAUGGGGGCAACCCUGAUCCAGCCAUGCCGCGUGAGUGAUGACGGCCUUAGGGUUGUAAAGCUCUUUUCUCCGGGACGAUAAUGACGGUACCGGAGGAAUAAGCCCCGGCUAACUUCGUG
rnacentral:rRNA from 1 species